GCCUACGGGGGGCAGCAGUGGGGAAUCUUCCGCAAUGGGCGAAAGCCUGACGGAGCAACGCCGCGUGAGUGAAGAAGGCCCUCGGGUCGUAAAGCUCUGUGAUCAGGGAAGAAGAAAGUGACGGUACCUGAAGAGGAAGCCCCGGCUAACUACGUGCCAGCAGCCGCGGUAAAACGUAGGGGGCAAGCGUUGUCCGGAAUUACUGGGCGUAAAGGGCGUGUAGGUGGCCCGUGAAGUCGAGAGUGAAAACCGAGGGCUUAACCUUCGGCCUGCUUUCGAAACCAGCGGGCUUGAGUGCAGUAGAGGGAAGUGGAAUUCCCAGUGUAGCGGUGAAAUGCGUAGAUAUUGGGAGGAACACCAGUGGCGAAAGCGGCUUCCUGGCCUGCAACUGACACUGAGGCGCGAAAGCGUGGGGAGCAAACAGGAUUAGAUACCCCGGUAGC
rnacentral:rRNA from 1 species